ACACAGUGUGAAGUAGAGGGGUGUCAGGGAAGGUUGCUGAGGCAGAAGGAGUCUAUGGACAGACUGCUGGGGGACUGGUUCUUGCUGUCAUGUAACCUGUAGCUGCAGGCAUUGAAAGUCGUGUAAUUUAACUGCAGCAGCGACUCUCCACAGUCUCCACAGGAACUAACAAACUAACAAGCUAACAAGCAGUCUGUUGUUUGACUCUGGUACACAAGCGAAUCUGAUGAGCCCUGAAGCUCCCGAACACUUUGGAGAACAAUUCAGAGUAAAGGUUUGUCAUGUAGAGGUGAAACAUCUGGCUGUAGUUUCCAUGACUUCAAAAUCCCCUCUGAUGACAUCUUCAACUGAAUGGAAACCUGCUCUGCUUCCUGCAUAAACCACAGGAAAACCCCACAGG